CAGUAAAUAGUUUAUUAAAAUAUUAAUUUUGGAGAUUAAAGUUGAGUUAUACUCUUUACUGA
rnacentral:tRNA from 1 species